GAAAUCAAGUUAUCCCAAUCAACAUGAUGUUGGAGAAGUCGUGUGGUGUAGCAGCAGUUCUGGUUGUUGUCAUGGUCAUGCAGUCAGAAGCUUUACCCUGCAUGAACAGCACCGACUGCGGCGUCAACGCCAACUGCGCCAACUCUACCUGUGUGUGUGAUCCCGGGUAUCAGGGAGAUGGCGCCACCUGUACCACUAUAUGCAGCAUGCUGGACUACCUUCUCG